UCCCUGGAGGACUAGUGGUUAGGCCUCAGCGCUCUCACCACUGCGGCCCGGGUUCAAUUCCCGGACAUGGAA
rnacentral:tRNA from 1 species